rnacentral:rRNA from 1 species
UACAGAGGGGGCAAGCGUUGUUCGGAAUUACUGGGCGUAAAGGGCGCGUAGGCGGCCUGUUAAGUCGAACGUGAAAUCCCCGGGCUCAACCCGGGAACUGCGUCCGAUACUGGCAGGCUUGAAUCCGGGAGAGGGAUGUGGAAUUCCAGGUGUAGCGGUGAAAUGCGUAGAGAUGUGGAGGAACACCAGUGGCGAAGGCGGCUUUCUGGUCUGUAACUGACGCUGAGGCGCGAAAGCGUGGGGAGCAAACAGG